rnacentral:rRNA from 1 species
UGAUCAAAUUUUAAAGGGCCGCGGUAUACUGACCGUGCGAAGGUAGCAUAAUCAUUAGUCUUUUAAUUGAAGGCUUGUAUGAAUGGUUGGACAAAAAGUAAGCUGUCUCAGUUAUAAUGAUUGAAUUUAACUUUUGAGUGAAAAGGCUUAAAUAAAUUGAGGGGACGAUAAGACCCUAUAAAGCUUGACAGUAAGUUGAUUAUAUUAUAAAUUGUUAGUAUAACUUGAUUUUAGUUAGCGUCUGUUACGUUGGGGCGACGAGAAUAUAAUAAGUAACUGUUCUUAAGUAUCUAAUAACAACUAUAGUUGGUAAAUAAAUGAUCCUCUAUUAGGGAUUAGAAGAUUAAGUUACUUUAGGGAUAACAGCGUAAUCUUCUUUGAGAGUCCAUAUCGACAAGAAGGUUUGCGACCUCGAUGUUGAAUU